UACAGAGGUCUCAAGCGUUGUUCGGAUUCAUUGGGCGUAAAGGGUGCGUAGGCGGCUCUGUAAGUCAGUGGUGAAAUAUCCCAGCUUAACUGGGAGGGUGGCAUUGAUACUGCGGGGCUAGAGUACAGAUGAGGUAGGCGGAAUUGACGGUGUAGCGGUGAAAUGCUUAGAUAUCGUCAAGAACACCUAUAGCGAAGGCAGCUUACUAGGCUGUAACUGACGCUGAGGCACGAAAGUGUGGGGAUCAAACAGG
rnacentral:rRNA from 1 species